rnacentral:rRNA from 1 species
CCUACGGGCGGCAGCAGUGGGGGAUAUUGGGCAAUGGGCGCAAGCCUGACCCAGCAACGCCGCGUGAGGGAAGAAGGCUUUCGGGUUGUAAACUUCUUUUGUCAGGGACGAAAGAAGUGACGGUACCUGACGAAUAAGCCACGGCUAACUACGUGCCAGCAGCCGCGGUAAUACGUAGGUGGCAAGCGUUAUCCGGAUUUACUGGGUGUAAAGGGCGUGUAGGCGGUACUGCAAGUCAGAUGUGAAAACCCCGGGCCCAACCCGUGGCCUGCUUUUGAAACUAUUGAACUUGAGUACUGGAGAGGCAGACGGAAUUCCUAGUGUAGCGGUGAAAUGCGUAGAUAUUAGGAGGAACACCAGUGGCGAAGGCGGUCUGCUGGACAGCAACUGACGCUGAGGCGCGAAAGCGUGGGGAGCAAACAGGAUUAGAUACCCGGGUAGUC